rnacentral:lncRNA from 1 species
CUGCAUAAAGGGGGUGUGAGGGUGUAUCAGCAGCUGCCUUGCCAUGGCCUCCUGGGCCCUCCUGCUCCUCGCCUCGGUGCUCCUGGCCACCCCAGGUAAGGACAUUCCCUAUGUAAUCCUGGCAGCAUCUCUAUAGCUGAGGGUUGGGACAGUUCUGGAGAGUGAUUUGGACUUGAUCACCUAAUAUGAAGUCUUUGCGGAAGGCAAGAGGGAAAGAAAGACAAGCUUGGAAGGGAUGAGAUUUUUUUCAUUUUAGUGCAUUCUGAAAAUUUGCACGCAUGUUUGUGUGUGUGUGUGUGUGUGUGUGUGUUUGUGUGUGUGUGUUUUGAGAGACAGAGAGAGAGAAUAGAGAUAGAGGCACUGGUAGACAGAAAGUUUUGUACAGAUGGUAAUGUUGGAGAGAUAUUAUCUUCUCUUCCUGUUUCCAGAAAGGUCUUAAGAGCAUGUCUUUUCACAGAUCCUGGGUCAAGGCAGCCCCAGGGCAGUGUGAGGGACAGGCCUCCUGGGCCCCUCUCCAAGCCCCACUCCUGUCCGGGGCUCUGGCCACCUCCUGGGCUCCCCAGCAGCCAGGAGUUCUGACUUCCCCUCCUCUUCCACGUGUGGACAGAUGCUGAUGCUGUGUCUUUGCAGGUCUGACCUAUUCUGGGUCUGAUCCCUGAGGACCAUGAUGACCUGUCCAACGGCCGACAUUUGUCAGGAAGAGCAGUUCUUCAGGAGACUGGCCCAGGAGGCUGCCCAGGGUGACCCGCGGUUCAACCAAUGUAAUUUUUGUCGAAAGAUCAUUAGUUGGCUGAGGACUUGCGUGGGACCGUCGAAGAUUCAGGAAGCCAUUCAGAAGGCUGCAACAGCGGUGUGCUCAAAGAUUCCAGCGGUGGAAAAUGUCUGCCAAAAAAUCAUCACCGGAAUUUUGAAUGGCAUUGCCCAGUUUAUCCUGAAUGGUUAUCCCUACAGUGAUAUCUGUGUGACACUCAGGAUGUGCAAAUCUUAAGUAGGUGAGUACAGAGGUAACAGCAGGGACCCCUUCCUAGAAGGUCCAGAUCUC